AACGAACGCUGGCGGCAUGCCUAACACAUGCAAGUCGAACGAGACCUUCGGGUCUAGUGGCGCACGGGUGCGUAACGCGUGGGAACCUGCCCUUAGGUUCGGAAUAACUCCCCGAAAGGGGUGCUAAUACCGGAUAAUGUCUUCGGACCAAAGAUUUAUCGCCUUUGGAUGGGCCCGCGUUGGAUUAGCUAGUUGGUAGGGUAAAAGCCUACCAAGGCGACGAUCCAUAGCUGGUCUGAGAGGAUGAUCAGCCACACUGGGACUGAGACAUGGCCCAGACUCCUACGGGAGGCAGCAGUGGGGAAUAUUGGACAAUGGGCGAAAGCCUGAUCCAGCAAUGCCGCGUGAGUGAUGAAGGCCUUAGGGUUGUAAAGCUCUUUUACCCGGGAUGAUAAUGACAGUACCGGGAGAAUAAGCUCCGGCUAACUCCGUG
rnacentral:rRNA from 1 species